UUGCCCUACGGGAGGCAGCAGUGGGGAAUAUUGGGCAAUGGGCGCAAGCCUGACCCAGCAACGCCGCGUGAAGGAAGAAGGCUUUCGGGUUGUAAACUUCUUUUCUCAGAGACGAAGCAAGUGACGGUACCUGAGGAAUAAGCCACGGCUAACUACGUGCCAGCAGCCGCGGUAAUACGUAGGUGGCAAGCGUUAUCCGGAUUUACUGGGUGUAAAGGGCGUGUAGGCGGGGACGCCAGUCAGAUGUGAAAACCACGGGCUCAACCUGUGGCCUGCAUUUGAAACUGUGUUUCUUGAGUACUGGA
rnacentral:rRNA from 1 species